AACGUAGGACGCGAGCGUUAUCCGGAGUUACUGGGCGUAAAGGGUGGGCAGGCGGCCGUGUCAGAUGGGUGUGAAAUCUCCCGGCUCAACCGGGAGGGGCCACUCGUGACUGCACGGCUGGAGGGCAGCAGAGGCGCGUGGAAUUCCGGGUGGAGUGGUGAAAUGCGUAGAGAUCCGGAGGAACACCAGAGGCGAAGGCGGCGCGCUGGGCUGCACCUGACGCUGAACCACGAAAGCCAGGGGAGCAAACGGG
rnacentral:rRNA from 1 species